rnacentral:rRNA from 1 species
AUUGAACGCUGGCGGCAUGCCUUACACAUGCAAGUCGAACGGUAACGGGCCUUCGGGUGCCGACGAGUGGCGAACGGGUGAGUAAUGUAUCGGAACGUUACCUUUCAGGUGGGGGAUAACGUAGCGAAAGUUACGCUAAUACCGCAUAUUCUGUGAGCAGGAAAGCAGGGGAUCGCAAGACCUUGCGCUGAUUGAGCGGCCGAUAUCAGAUUAGCUAGUUGGUGAGGUAAAGGCUCACCAAGGCGACGAUCUGUAGCGGGUCUGAGAGGAUGAUCCGCCACACUGGAACUGAGACACGGUCCAGACUCCUACGGGAGGCAGCAGUGGGGAAUUUUGGACAAUGGGGGCAACCCUGAUCCAGCCAUGCCGCGUGAGUGAAGAAGGCCUUCGGGUUGUAAAGCUCUUUCGGCCGGGAAGAAAUCGUAUGGGUUAAUACCCUGUGCGGAUGACGGUACCGGCAUAAGAAGCACCGGCUAACUACGUG